AUUGAACGCUGGCGGCAGGCCUAACACAUGCAAGUCGAACGAGUGGCGGACGGGUGAGUAAUGUCUGGGAAACUGCCCGAUGGAGGGGGAUAACUCCUGGAAACGGUUGCUAAUACCGCAUACUAUCAGAUGUGCCCAGAUGGGAUUAGCUAGUUGGUGGGGUAAAGGCUCACCAAGGCGACGAUCCCUAGCUGGUCUGAGAGGAUGAUCAGCCACACUGGGACUGAGACACGGUCCAGACUCCUACGGGAGGCAGCAGUGGGGAAUAUUGGACAAUGGGCGCAAGCCUGAUGCAGCCAUGCCGCGUGUAUGAAGAAGGCCUUAGGGUUGUAAAGUACUUUCAGCGGGGAGGCGUUACCCGCAGAAGAAGCACCGGCUAACUCCGUGCCAGCAGCCGCGGUAAUUC
rnacentral:rRNA from 1 species